CACGGGUGAGUAACACGUGGAUAACCUGCCCUGGAGACUGGGAUAACCCGUCGAAAGACGGACUAAUACCAGAUAAGGACCACGGACAGUUCGCUGUCCGAGGUAAAAGGUGGCCUCUGCUCCUGCAAGCGUAUCACUCCGGGAGGGGUCCGCGGCCUAUCAGCUAGUUGGCGGGUAAUGGCCCACCAAGGCAAAGACGGGUAGCUGGUCUGAGAGGAUGGUCAGCCACACUGGGACUGAGACACGGCUCAGAGUCCUACGGGAUGCAGCAGUCAGGAAUAUUGCGCAAUGGAGGAAACUCUGACGCAGCGACGCCGCGUGGGUGAUGAAGGCCUUCGGGUCGUAAAGCCCUGUCGGAGGGAAAGAAAAGCUCGCUGGCUAAUAUCCAGCGAGCCCUUGACGGUACCCUCAAAGGAAGCACCGGCUAACUCCGUGCCAGCAGCCGCGGUAA
rnacentral:rRNA from 1 species